CUUGAACACAAGCACUGUGAUACCCCACAACAGUAGAUCUGAUAACCAAGGCGGCUACUAAGUGACUAACAGUUAAUAUUUUCGGACUGUUGUCGACCAUGGGUAACUGAAACCUCAGGAAAUGAAACUAUGGAUGAGAGAGGACUGCUGUGCAGUGGAAUAUCAUUCAGCCUUUAAAAGAAAGAGAUCCUGCAACAUGUGAAAAUGCGGACAAACCCAUGGACAACUUAGCAUCUGAUUAUGCUAAGUCAAAUAAGCCAGUCACGGAAGGACAAGUACUGCGUGUGAGGUUUAGGCAGAAGGAAAUAGAGCUCAGAGGCAAGGACGCUGGCAGUCAUGGCAAAGAGCACCCCAAGCAGACAGACGGGGCACCUGCACUGUGCUCUCUCCAGACCAGCUUUACUCCGGACCCCUGACAGAAUCCCUGUGAAGUUACCGGCCAGAGACGUCAAUAAUUACAGUGGGACAAAGUAAAGUACCAAGAUGUCUCGUUUAUCCAGGCAGAAAGUUUUCCAGGAGUGACACGAGGGCAUAUCUGUAGACAAGGCGACCUCCGAACCCGAGCGCCGCUCUCUAAAGGCGCAGGGGCCUGAGGACAGCCCCUCGUGUGCACGAGUGCGCCCAGCAGGCUGUCCGUCUCUCCUGGGUGGUCUCCCCACAAGCACUGGCUCGCCUCCUGCCUGCUUCAAGUAAAACGACUUCACCAUUUACUUUUGAACACCAGUUGCUCGAGCUUUCCAACCCUCAAUGCCUCGCUUUUUAUAAUCCAUUGGAGUAUUCUGUUAAUCCCCGCCACCCCGGCCACC
ensembl:lncRNA